CCCUUAGAUGUUCUGGGCUGCACGCGCGCUACACUGAUGCGAUCAACAAGUUUUUCCUAUGUCGAUAGACACGGGUAAUCUUUUGAACUCGCAUCGUGAUGGGGAUAGAUUAUUGUAAUUAUUAAUCUUCAACGAGGAAUUCCUAGUAGGUGCAAAUCAUCAGUUUGCAUCGAUUACGUCCCUGCCCUUUGUACACACCGCCCGUCGCUGCUACCGAUUGGUUGAUCUGGUGAAUUAUCCGGACUGCCGGCUGAAGGGGUUUCCUCAUCUGCCAGCGGAAAGUCUUGUUAACCCUAUCAACUAGAGGAAGCAGAAGUCGUAACA
rnacentral:rRNA from 1 species